rnacentral:rRNA from 1 species
AGUAACGCGUGAGGAACCUGCCUCAAAGAGGGGGACAACAGUUGGAAACGACUGCUAAUACCGCAUAAGCCCACGGCUCGGCAUCGAGCAGAGGGAAAAGGAGCAAUCCGCUUUGAGAUGGCCUCGCGUCCGAUUAGCUAGUUGGUGAGGUAAUGGCCCACCAAGGCGACGAUCGGUAGCCGGACUGAGAGGUUGAACGGCCACAUUGGGACUGAGAUACGGCCCAG